rnacentral:rRNA from 1 species
UGAGGAAUAUUGGUCAAUGGGCGAGAGCCUGAACCAGCCAAGUAGCGUGAAGGAUGAAGGCUCUAUGGGUCGUAAACUUCUUUUAUAUGGGAAUAAAGUAUUCCACGUGUGGAAUUUUGUAUGUACCAUAUGAAUAAGGAUCGGCUAACUCCGUGCCAGCAGCCGCGGUAAUACGGAGGAUCCGAGCGUUAUCCGGAUUUAUUGGGUUUAAAGGGAGCGUAGGUGGAUUGUUAAGUCAGUUGUGAAAGUUUGCGGCUCAACCGUAAAAUUGCAGUUGAAACUGGCAGUCUUGAGUACAGUAGAGGUGGGCGGAAUUCGUGGUGUAGCGGUGAAAUGCUUAGAUAUCACGAAGAACUCCGAUUGCGAAGGCAGCUCACUAGACUGUCACUGACACUGAUGCUCGAAAGUGUGGGUAUCAAACAGGAUUAGAUACCCUGGUAGUCCACACAGUAAACGAUGAAUACUCGCUGUUUGCGAUAUACAGUAAGCGGCCAAGCGAAAGCAUUAAGUAUUCCACCUGGGGAGUACGCCGGCAACGGUGAAACUCAAAGGAAUUGACGGGGGCCCGCACAAGCGGAGGAACAUGUGGUUUAAUUCGAUGAUACGCGAGGAACCUUACCCGGGCUUAAAUUGCAACAGAAUAUAUUGGAAACAGUAUAGCCGUAAGGCUGUUGUGAAGGUGCUGCAUGGUUGUCGUCAGCUCGUGCCGUGAGGUGUCGGCUUAAGUGCCAUAACGAGCGCAACCCUUAUCUUUAGUUACUAACAGGUCAUGCUGAGGACUCUAGAGAGACUGCCGUCGUAAGAUGUGAGGAAGGUGGGGAUGACGUCAAAUCAGCACGGCCCUUACGUCCGGGGCUACACACGUGUUACAAUGGGGGGUACAGAAGGCGGCUACCUGGUGACAGGAUGCUAAUCCCAAAAACCUCUCUCAGUUCGGAUCGAAGUCUGCAACCCGACUUCGUGAAGCUGGAUUCGCUAGUAAUCGCGCAUCAGCCAUGGCGCGGUGAAUACGUUCCC